rnacentral:rRNA from 1 species
GACGAACGCUGGCGGCGUGCUUAACACAUGCAAGUCGAACGGAAAGGCCUCUUUCGGGGGGUACUCGAGUGGCGAACGGGUGAGUAACACGUGAGUAACCUGCCCUUGACUUUGGGAUAACUUCAGUAAACUGGGGCUAAUACCGGAUAGGAGCUCCUGCUGCAUGGUGGGGGUUGGAAAGUUUCGGCGGUUGGGGAUGGACUCGCGGCUUAUCAGCUUGUUGGUGGGGUAGUGGCUUACCAAGGCUUUGACGGGUAGCCGGCCUGAGAGGGUGACCGGCCACAUUGGGACUGAGAUACGGCCCAGACUCCUACGGGGGGCAGCAGGGGGGAAUAUUGCGCAAUGGGGGGAAGCCUGACGCAGCAACGCCGUGUGGGGGAUGACGGCCUUCGGGUUGUAAACCGCUUUCAGCAAGGACGAAGCUUUGGGGACGGUAGGUGGAGAAAAAGGACCGGCCAAAUUCGUG